UUUCUCCUGGGCCAUUAGCUCGGGUGGUUAGAGCGCACCCCUGAUAAGGGUGAGGUCCCUGGUUCAAGUCCAGGAUGGCCCAUUCGUUGUUGGGGGUAUAGCUCAGUUGGUAGAGCGCCUGCUUUGCAAGCAGGAUGUCAGCGGUUCGAGUCCGCUUACCUCCACUGAAAACUAUCCUGAUAAUUAAAUUCUGGAGAAAAAUUUGUAGAUGUGACUUAGAAUUGUCUAUUUGAAAAGAACCUAGCUUCUUAUCAUCUUUUUAUUAGUUGAUAAUAUGCUGGGCUCACAUGGAUUAAUUCCAUGAGAUUUCAGUAGAACCUUGAAAACUGCAUAGAUUAGAAAGAAUAAAGCAUCUCAUGGAUGCAUAAUUCUGUUUUUAUGAUUUAGCCUUGAAGCUAAAUUAUUUAAUUUCAGAAUUCAUGUUUAAUUCUUGAGUAAAAGCCGAGCACAAUUGAUUUUGUGAUUGUAUUUAAGGUCAAGCUACAAAGGGCUCAUGGCGGAUACCUUGGCACACAGAGGCGAUGAA
rnacentral:tRNA from 1 species